UACGUAGGGGGCUAGCGUUGUCCGGAAUCAUUGGGCGUAAAGCGCGUGUAGGCGGCCCGGUAAGUCCGCUGUGAAAGUCGGGGGCUCAACCCUCGAAUGCCGGUGGAUACUGUCGGGCUCGAGUGCGGAAGAGGCGAGUGGAAUUCCUGGUGUAGCGGUGGAAUGCGCAGAUAUCAGGAGGAACACCGGUGGCGAAGGCGGGUCUCUGGGCAGUAACUGACGCUGAGGAGCGAAAGCGUGGGGAGCGAACAGG
rnacentral:rRNA from 1 species